AAUUUUUUUCUAAAAUACUUCAUAAUAUUUCUUUCAUACUUAACAUCACUCAAAAAACAAAAACAAAAACAAAAACAAAAAACAAAAUUAACCCGUAUUUGCCAAUGAACCCACAAAAACAAGGUCCUAAAUGAAAAUGGGGUUUCCUCUUCUGCCUAUAUAUGUAACACUAAUAAAACAGUGUAAAAUGGUGGUUUGAUUUGAAUUAGGUGACUGUGUGAUUGAUGGUCACAAGAUUCCUCAUUGGACAUUCGUGUAACAAGAUGAUUGGCCAAUCUAGAGGUUGUAACUUCGAUGUGUGGUUUCAGAGUGUCAUUGGAAUAAGGGUUUUAAAAACAGACUGAUCAUCUUCUUGUUACACGUGUACAAAUCUCAUGUCACUCUUAUGGGAAAAAUAUCAUAUCCGAGGUGAUGGUAUCAUUUUCCCAGAAGCACAUUGUCAUUACCUCUCUGCAACUCUGCAAACAAGAAAAACAUCUUA